CUACGGGGGGCAGCAGUGGGGAAUAUUGGACAAUGGGCGCAAGCCUGAUCCAGCCAUGCCGCGUGUGUGAAGAAGGCCUUUUGGUUGUAAAGCACUUUAAGCGAGGAGGAGGCUACCUGUAUUAAUACUAUAGGAUAGUGGACGUUACUCGCAGAAUAAGCACCGGCUAACUCUGUGCCAGCAGCCGCGGUAAUACAGAGGGUGCGAGCGUUAAUCGGAAUUACUGGGGCGUAAAGCGCGCGUAGGCGGUUUGUUAAGUCGGAUGUGAAAUCCCCGGGCUCAACCUGGGAAUUGCAUUCGAUACUGGCAAGCUAGAGUAUGGGGGAGGAAGGUAGAAUUCCAGGUGUAGCGGUGAAAUGCGUAGAGAUCUGGAGGAAUACCGAUGGCGAAGGCAGCCUUCUGGCCUAAUACUGACGCUGAGGUGCGAAAGCAUGGGGAGCAAACAGGAUUAGAUACCCGCGUAGUC
rnacentral:rRNA from 1 species